GUAGUUAUGUCAGAAUUUUUAUGAGUUAGUUUUAAGCAUUAAUUAUGGAGUGUCUCCUAGCUAUA
rnacentral:tRNA from 1 species